CAGAGAGGUUCCUCCACUACUCCUAGAGGGCUGCCUCAACAGACUGUAGGAAAAUUAAUUCAUGGACUGCUCGAGUUAAACACCGGGAGCAGUGGAUCACUGAACAAUCUGCAGAAGGGCUCUGGAGACACACUAACACUGCAGAGCUGGGAUGUUUUCUCCAGGGAAGGGCCUGGACAGCACAGCUGAGCACCAUCAACUUGCGCAGCCAUGAGCUGGAGGGAACCAUGCCAGUCAGUAUGUUGUAGAUUAUUCAGAUCCUGGCAGGAAAAAUCAAAAUCAAAAGGUUUUUGAGCCUUCAAGACCGUUUUACUGGUCUGCAUUUUUUUGGAUCAUUUUCUAAAAGAGAUCAAGGCCAGCAUUCCUCGCUGCCAUGGGACUGCGUAUUGAAGAAAUGUCAUUGGAUACUGCACUAAAGCUGUGGCUGCUCUUUCUGCUUCCUACAUUCAUUUUCCACUGUGGAGUUGAGAGAGACACUUGUGGAAGUCUAGCUGCGUUCUUCUAGUCACCUGAGACCUCUGAUAUUUGUCAUCAUUAGCACAGUAGAAAACCUGAAUAAAGUUGGCACAAAGGAAAAUCUUUAUUCUGAGAUCGGCACCCCAGCUAACCUACCUAAUUUACUGCAUCUGGCUUGCCUACAAAAACACAAGACAAAGACAUUUCCAGCAUUUCAGUAACAAACUCAUCCAAAAAGCACCGGCUAGCUCUUACUUUAUGAGACAUUAGCUUGUCCAUGACUAUUCCAACACACCCUAUCAUUCCAACAGUUUUUCAAGCCUGGUCAACACCCCUGAUUCCCAAAUGACUUCUGCUUUAAUCCUCUUAAAGCAGGAAUGCUGGCUUUAUUUCUUGGCUCCAGUCACAGACUCUGUGGUUUUAGGGAUAUUUGAGUACCAAUAUUGGUUUUCUCUUUAACUGUUGAUGCUUUCCAAAGACUGUAUAUGCAGUUAAACUGCCAUUAAAUGCCAUAUUUUUCAAAUCUGUCUUGCUCAUUACAGUAUGAGAUACAAGCUGAAACUAUAAUCUGUAUUAGGAGGCUGCGUGUCUUCUGGUGUUGGGUAAUGGAGCAUUCUGAAGAUAUUUCCAUGUUGCCAAAAACAACAAUAAAAUCAAGAGACAGCGUGUCGCAUUUCCCUUAUAGACAGAUCCAGCUGUUCUCAAGUGCCUGGAAAAUCACAAGGGUGAGCAGCCACAAUAGUUAGUCCAUCAGCACUACUCAUUUGGCUGCCAGAACCAGCUGAUCUGAACCUUCAGUAGCUCCAUUUUAUAGGCAGUGGCCUUAACUGUCAUGAGAGUGCAGACUUUUUCUCCCAUUUAACCUGAGCUUCUCUUGCAUGAAAACACAUACAAGGAAUGGAGACCAACUCA
rnacentral:lncRNA from 1 species